rnacentral:misc_RNA from 1 species
GUUUCUCAUUGUUUCUCAAUUAAGAGAGAUUUGUUAAGUCAGAUUAAAAAAACAUGUGGUAUUUCAUCUAGGCUGACGAGCCACGGUCAGAUCACUCAUUGUAGAGCUUUCAGCCACCAGAGCCUCUCCUAGCAGAGGUGAAAAGAAGAACCCGAUAAAGACUUCUCCUUCAGUGAUGGAAACAAACCGCGACCGCCAAUAGACAUUUCAAUGGUUCACAAGGGUGUUGAUUUGAUCCCGCGCCGUAAUGCUGACAAAGAUGCCAGCACUUAAACCGGCACGGUCACAAAAGAUUGUUAAUGAUCCAACCGCAGGUUCACCUACGGUUA